UACAUGGGGUGCAAACGUUGCUCGGAAUUAUUGGGCGUAAAGCGCACGUAGGUGGUCUGUUAUGUCAGAUGUGAAAGCCCUCGGCUUAACUGAGGAAGUGCACCUGAAACUGGCAGGCUUGAGUACGAAAGAGGGUCGCGGAAUUCCCGGUGUAGAGGUGAAAUUCGUAGAUAUUGGGAAGAACACCAGUGGCGAAGGCGGCUCUCUGGACCGUAACUGACGCUGAGGCGCGAAAGCGUGGGGAGCAAACAGG
rnacentral:rRNA from 1 species